AAGCGUUUAUGACCAGACUUGGCCCGGUUGAUCAUCCAGCCUUCUGGCUGGUGCACUCUGCCGGUCCAGGCCAGCAUCAGUUCGUCGCGGGGGAUAAAGGUUUCGGGAAUGUAUCUCCUCCGGGAGUGUUAUAGCCCGUUGCGUAAUACCCUGCGGUGGACUGAGGUCCGCGCUCUGCAAGGAUGCUGGCGUAAUGGUCAUCAACGA
rnacentral:rRNA from 1 species